CUUCUCAAUUGCCUUUCUUACUCUCAACAUCUUGGUUCAACACUUGCAUACAUACGGUAAGUUUCCCAAAUACUCUUUGUAUAUUGGCUGUUAGUUUUUGGUCGUUCUCUGAGAUCUAGAGAAUGCUAAAACAACACUACAUUGAUUGUUAGAUUUCUCAUUUCAGCUAUAGUAUGAAAUAAAGUCUGAACGUUUAGAAAGAUCCAUUUUAGAACAUGUUCAAUUGUAUUAAAUCCAGAUACAUUUUUUGUUGGUGGACCUGAAGACUCCAUCUGAGGUCAUUUGUUGGCGUGUUAGAGUUCGUGGUGAUUGUUUCAGUGACCUUCACAGGUUAGAAGUGGUCAUAGUAUAGGCAGGAAUAAGUUAUUGAAACGAGAGAUUAUAAAAGAUUAGUUGAUCAGCUUAGUUAGUUUGGGUGAAAAACUGCUUAGAUUUCUCAAUAUAAGAACUCUUAUUAAUCCAGUGAGGAUCCUAGAUUUAUUUAGGCAAUAUUUACCUGCUAUCUUUAAACGAGAUGAUGACUAGAAUUCUUGAGGCUUUGAUACAUUGGAUCUGUAUCUUUGAUCCCCCAUUACUUCUUCAACCUCCUUAAUAUUCUUGUUCAUAAUCCUUCUAUGUUUAAAAUCCCUGGGCACACAUUAUCAUAUUUGCAUACGCGACCAGUCUCCACAGUCCACCCUUUCUCCUUGAAGCUUCAAGUUGUAACUUCACACACCCUAGCAGAAUCCUCGGCAAGCACAUACCACUCAUGGUUAUUUGCCUUCUCUUUUUAGCCUCUUUGUUCAUCUAUUCUUUUAACUAGUUUCUCUGGUAAUAGAAGAUAUAGAGAAUGGUUCACUAAUAUUUUACUGACCAUUUGUUUUUACUUAGUAUUGACUAUAAGAUCUAGCUAUGAUUAUAUGAACCCAUGAAACCUUCUUAAACAAAAUCAUAUUCGCACUGCUAAACAUUCUUCUAGUAUGCAUUUUCAGCUUGUCUACAUAUAGCAGAUCACGACUAACUUUUUUUUAAUUUUUUCAUAGAAGCUGAAGUUCAUAGUAAUAUACUUAUAAAUGCAGGUUUAUAGGCAUAUGAUCUACAUUAAUACGAUGCUGGAAAUUUUCAGGUAGUGUGUUAUCCUCUUCUUACAUUCUUAUUUAUAUAACCAUUCUUACAAAUAAUAUUAUUUGGUUAUGUCUUAUACAUAUAGAGUGUACUCACCCAUAUCACUCUCAUCUCGCUUAGUGUAGUCGUGAAGUUGAAUUUUGUAACUGUGAUGCAGUGAAGAUCUCAGAUUCAUUUAGGCAUAUUUAUCUGCAAUCUCCAAAAGACGAGUACAGAGUUCUUGAGGCUUGGAGAACAUUGCCAUAUGAUCUGCAUCUUUGAUCUUCAUUACUUCUUUUACUGGAAAGUUCUUGAUCAUCCAGCGCUGGUAAUCCUCGGUUAUCGCGCGGUCCUCUCCACAGAUGAUAUAUAUACGUGUAACGGAUCCAUACCCUUCCUCACUGAAGCUUCUUGUCCCUGCCAGAUUGUUUGUAACGAUCGGGUUUACCCUCACCAACAUUUUUGCCAAUUCAAGAUCCUAAUCCGCCACAACAAUCAUCAAUUAAAAAGUUGACUGAGGUUACAAGCAAAUCUCAUUUGGGUUUUAAGUAGGAGUCUUACUUGGACCGGAGAGAGUUGAUACAAAUCCCUGGCCAUGGAUUUUGGUCCGAAAAGAACAAACUCUAGAGGGCGAUCAG
rnacentral:lncRNA from 1 species